rnacentral:rRNA from 1 species
GACGAACGCUGGCGGCGUGCUUAACACAUGCAAGUCGAACGGCAAGGCCCUUCUCAUGUGGGGUGCUCGAGUGGCGAACGGGUGCGUAACACGUGAGUAACCUGCCCUCGACUUUGGGAUAACUUCAGGAAACUGGGGCUAAUACCGCAUAGGAGCUCCUGCUGCCUGGUGGGGGUUGGAAAGUCUCGGCGGGUGGGGAUGGACCCGCGGCUUGUCAGAUUGUUGGUGGGGUAGGGGCUUAACAAGGCGUUGACGGAUUGCCGGCCCCAGAGGGGGAACGGCGACAUGGGGCAGAAGACUCCGCCCAGACGCCGACGGGAGGCAGGGGUGGUGAUUGUAGCACUGUGGGAGGCAGGCUGAGGGAGCAACGCCGCGUUCGUGAGGAGGGCACUCGGUUUGUAAGCCGCUUUCGCCUGUGACGGAGCGUGAGUGACGGUAAUGGGUAAAGAAGCACCGGCUAACUACGUG